UACGGAGGGGGCUAGCGUUGUUCGGAAUUACUGGGCGUAAAGGGCUCGUAGGCGGCCAACUAAGUCAGACGUGAAAUCCCUCGGCUUAACCGGGGAACUGCCUCUGAUACUGGAUGGCUUGAGAUUGGGAGAGGGAUGCGGAAUUCCAGGUGUAGCGGUGAAAUGCGUAGAGAUCCGGAAGAACACCGGUGGCGAAGGCGGCCUGCUGGGCAGUAGCUGACGCUGAUGCGCGACAGCGUGGGGAGCAAACAGG
rnacentral:rRNA from 1 species